AUGCAUGUMUAAGURUAAGCAAUCUUAUACAGCGAAACUGCGAAUGGCUCAUUAARUCMSUUAUAGKCUACUUGAUCGUAUCUUCUUACAUGGAUAACCGUAGUAAAUCUAGAGCUAAUACAUGCUAAAAAUCCUGGACGCGGCAACGCGGAAGGGACGAGUUKAUUAAAUUAAAAACCGACACCUCUCCGCGAGGGGAGGUAGCACAGGUGAUUCACAGUAACCGAUCGGAUCGUCGGCCCCGCCGACGACGAUGCAUACGAGUUUCUGCCCUAUCAACUUUAGAUGGUAGAGUAUCGGUCUACCAUGGUCGUAACGGGUGACGGGGGAUUAGGGUUCGAUUCCGGAGAGGGAGCCUGAGAAACGGCUACCACUUCCAAGGAAGGCAGCAGGCGCGCAAAUUACCCAAUCCCGACACGGGGAGGUAGUGACAAGAAAUACCAUUGUAAUGUCUCCUCGAGAGGCUUACGAUUGGAAUGAGUACAAUUUAAAUCCCUUAACGAGUAACGAUUGGAGGGCAAGUCUGGUGCCAGCAGCCGCGGUAAUUCCAGCUCCAAUAGCGUAUAUUAAAGUUGUUGCAGUUAAAAAGCUCGUAGUUGGAUUUCGGAAGGUCCUUAGUAAUCCGCCCCUUCGGGGAGCGGGUUGCUGGCCUCCUAUGUUCCUAACGGUCCUCGUCCGCGAGGGCGGGGAAUCAACCGCUAGGAUCGUUUACUUUGAGGAAAUUAGAGUGUUC
rnacentral:rRNA from 1 species